rnacentral:rRNA from 1 species
CUAGUUGGUGAGGUAACGGCUCUACCAAGGCAACGAUCAGUAGCCGGCUUGAGAGAGUGAACGGCCACAUUGGGACUGAGACACGGCCCAAACUCCUACGGGAGGCAGCAGUGGGGAAUAUUGCACAAUGGGGGAAACCCUGAUGCAGCGACGCCGCGUGAAGGAAGAAGUAUUUCGGUAUGUAAACUUCUAUCAGCAGGGAAGAAAAUGACGGUACCUGAGUAAGAAGCACCGGCUAAAUAC